rnacentral:rRNA from 1 species
GGAAUAUUGGACAAUGGGCGAAAGCCUGAUCCAGCCACGCCGCGUGAGUGAUGAAGAUCUUCGGGUCGUAAACUCCUGUCGAGCGGGACGAACGCUUCGCGGAUGAAUAUUCCGCGGAAUUGACGGUACCGCUAAGGGAAGCCCCGGCUAACUCCGUGCCAGCAGCCGCGGUAAUACGGGGGGGGCAAGCGUUGUUCGGAAUUACUGGGCGUAAAGGGCUCGUAGGCGGCCAACUAAGUCGGACGUGAAAUCCCCAGGCUCAACCUGGGAACUGCGUCCGAUACUGAUUGGCUUGAAUCCGGGAGAGGGAUGCAGAAUUCCAGGUGUAGCGGUGAAAUGCGUAGAUAUCUGGAGGAAUACCGGUGGCGAAGGCGGCAUCCUGGACCGGCAUUGACGCUGAUGAGCGAAAGCUAGGGGAGCAAAC